GACAGAGGGGGCAAGCGUUGCUCGGAAUUACUGGGCGUAAAGGGCGCGUAGGCGGGAUGGCAAGUCGGUCGUGAAAUCCCUCGGCUCAACCGAGGAACGUCGAUCGAUACUGCUGUUCUUGAGGAUUGCAGAGGAGACUGGAAUUCCCGGUGUAGCGGUGAAAUGUGUAGAGAUCGGGAGGAACAUCAGUGGCGAAGGCGGGUCUCUGGGCAGUAACUGACGCUGAGGAGCGAAAGCGUGGGGAGCGAACAGG
rnacentral:rRNA from 1 species